AUGAACGCUGGCGGCGUGCCUAAUACAUGCAAGUCGAGCGAACAGACGAGGAGCUUGCUCCUCUGACGUUAGCGGCGGACGGGUGAGUAACACGUGGAUAACCUACCUAUAAGACUGGGAUAACUUCGGGAAACCGGAGCUAAUACCGGAUAAUAUAUUGAACCGCAUGGUUCAAUAGUGAAAGACGGUUUUGCUGUCACUUAUAGAUGGAUCCGCGCCGCAUUAGCUAGUUGGUAAGGUAACGGCUUACCAAGGCGACGAUGCGUAGCCGACCUGAGAGGAGGAUCGCCCACACGAGAACGGAGACGGGGACAAGGCGACUGAGGGAGGGCGCAGAGGGGUAUCUCCGGCAAUGGGGGGAAUUUUGGCGAAACAGGCCCGAGUGUGUUACAAAGGCCUCGGGUGCGAAAAGACUGUUUUUGGGGAAAAAAAAGCUUUAGCCUAAGAUGACGCGGUCUUGACGGUAAUGAAUAAAAAAGCACCGGCUAACUACGUG
rnacentral:rRNA from 1 species